GUGGAAUGAAACAUAGUGGAGUAUGAUCUACACAGGGAGCUUGUGACCGGAGUAUAUAUGGGGGAAAUUUUGGCCCUGGGAAGGUGAGGAACCAGCAUGUAGCACUGUCCAAGGCUGACAGCCCAUCUGAAGAGGAUCCUGAGGCUGUUUCUGUUGUCCUCCAGUUUGCAUCAGUGGAUGUGAAGAUUGUGCUAAACUCAUCUGAAGAGCCUCCUAAAACCAGGCAGAUGGUUUGAUUUGCAGUGGGAAAGAAAAAAGUGGAGAAAAAGUAAGUGUUUGAAACCUAUUCCCACCCCUCACCCCCAGUAAAACUCCUUAGGGUAAUAU
rnacentral:lncRNA from 1 species